GCAAUACCCUGAGACAGGGAGGAACUGUUUGAAACAGCCUGGGCCUUGUUCCUGUUCCCUCCUGGAGAACAUAACAUUUUGAGAUAGAUAGGAACUACAGGGACACCGGCGGCUUUGUUCCUCUUUCCUCUGGAAGCCAAGAUGUUCUUCAAAACUUUUCCCAGUGAGUUUCAUGGCCAAUGGGAUAUAUAUACAACCGCAGGUGGGAUGCCUUUUGGGGUCCCUUGGCUGUGAUCCAAGUGGAGCAUGUGAAUCAACAUUCUAUCUACCCUGGGAAGCCGUCUUGAUACUUGAGGGACCAACUCACAGUGGAUCUUAGGCUUCUUUGUCCCUUGCUGCAUAUCUUGCUGAGAUGAUGAUAUGGAAGGCUGGAGGAUUCAGCUGGACAAUGAAACUGAGUUCUCCCAGUCCGAUGGUGUUUAGGAGACACAGUUCCAUGAAGGACAGGACCUAAAACAAACAUAAAAACACAUCUUGUCCUGGAGACAUUAGAAAAGAUAAGUGGGCUAAAUGUACCUAAAACUGAAACCUAGACCUGAUCUUGAUCAAUGUCUGAUUGGAUUGAGGUGAUAGCUGCUCUGUCAUCUAACAGGGAAGAAAGAAAAUCCUCUGAGGAGGGUCAUCUGAGGAGGGCAUCAUCUUCAGUUUUCACGUUUCUUUUGUGUACAAUGUCC
rnacentral:lncRNA from 1 species